AUUGAACGCUGGCGGCAUGCCUUACACAUGCAAGUCGAACGGCAGCACGGGAGCAAUCCUGGUGGCGAGUGGCGAACGGGUGAGUAAUAUAUCGGAACGUGCCCAGUCGUGGGGGAUAACGUAGCGAAAGCUACGCUAAUACCGCAUACGAUCUACGGAUGAAAGCGGGGGAUCGCAAGACCUCGCGCGAUUGGAGAGGCCGAUAUCAGAUUAGCUAGUUGGUGGGGUAAAGGCCCACCAAGGCGACGAUCUGUAGCUGGUCUGAGAGGACGACCAGCCACACUGGAACUGAGACACGGUCCAGACUCCUACGGGAGGCAGCAGUGGGGAAUUUUGGACAAUGGGCGCAAGCCUGAUCCAGCAAUGCCGCGUGCAGGAUGAAGGCCUUCGGGUUGUAAACUGCUUUUGUACGGAACGAAACGGCGAGCUCUAAUAAAGUUUGCUAAUGACGGUACCGUAAGAAUAAGCACCGGCUAACUACGUGCCAGCCGCCGCCGUAA
rnacentral:rRNA from 1 species